UCGUGGAUUGCUUUGUCAGGUUGAUUCCGGUAACGAACGAGACCUCAGCCUGCUAAAUAGUCACGGUUGGUUUUUCCAGCCGGCAGACUUCUUAGAGGGACUAUCGGCGUUCUAGCCGACGGAAGUGUGAGGCGAUAACA
rnacentral:rRNA from 1 species